rnacentral:rRNA from 1 species
GAUGAACGCUGGCGGUAUGCCUAACACAUGCAAGUCGUACGAGAGUUUUUAACUCUAGUGGCGGACGGGUGAGUAACACGUGAGAAUUUGCCUUUAGGAGGGGGAUAACAAUUGGAAACGAAUGCUAAUACCCCAUAUGCUUUUGAGUGAAACGGAUUUAUCCGCCUAGAGAGAAGCUCGCGGCUGAUUAGCUUGUUGGUAAGGUAAGAGCUUACCAAGGCGACGAUCAGUAUCUGGUUUGAGAGGACGAUCAGACACACUGGAACUGAGACACGGUCCAGACUCCUACGGGAGGCAGCAGUGGGGAAUUUUCCGCAAUGGGCGAAAGCCUGACGGAGCAAUACCGCGUGAGGGAAGACUGCCUAUGGGUUGUAAACCUCUUUUUCAGGGUAGGAAUAAAAUGACGUGUACCUGAAGAAUAAGCAAUCGGCUAACUCCGUG